UCAAAAUGUGUCAUGGCGGCUUCCUGUCAAUUGGAUGUGAGCAUGGACGUGAGCGUAACCACGACCUACUGUACAGCAGGUCGUGAGCGUAACAUGGGAGCUUCAAUGGUACAUCUAAGCUUUCUUGGUUAUCCCAAGCUGUUCCUUAUCCUUCCGCGUAAUAACUCUUUCUUGUACCCAAUAGAAUACCGAAUAGAGAUCGUAUAGAAGCUCAGAGGCUGCACCUGUCAUUCACAUAGACAGCUCUUGCACAGUGGGUGCCCUCAAAUGUACUGCAGAGUUUGCUGUGUUGCUGUUUAGUUGAGCAUCAACUGAUAGCCUCGACAAUAUGACAAGCAACACAUCUGCCAUUUCAGGUCUGUCUUAGGAAUGGCACGCCCCAGAAAGCUCGCCUUCGUGCAUAGCGUUUGCCACCAGCAUUUCCAGGAAAACAUUACAGAAGCAUAAGCUGCAGCUGCCCGGAAGCGUGAGAAGCAGCCAGGGAUCUUUUAAUGCUAUCGUGUUCCACUCUUAAAGGCGCAGCUUAAGUGUCCUCCAACCUUUUUUUUUUUUUCGCUGUUUGGGGACUGCCUUCUUGAAGGUGUUGCUUCGUUUCCUUUCUGCUGUAGGGCGAAUGUAAUAUCUGCUUUGAACAACGGCAAAGCCACAUUUUGAUUGCACUUGAUCCUGGCUGCACUAGCGCAGCAUCUCUCCUGAACACUAUCCAACAGUUCACUAUGAUGUUAUCACUGAAAUAGAAUACACAAGACACCUUCGUGUACCACUUCAUCUACCUCGAAGUAAUAUGCCAUAGCUUUAUGAUCAUAUCCUUAACAUCCACUACUUUCUUGGAUUCAUUUCAGAUAGCCGGAAUGUACAGACUAAAAAAGCUCGGAAGCGCUUGCGCUCUUUGGAGAAUUUUGUAUGAGCAUUUUCAGGCUGUUCUGGUGACACUAAAAAAUACUGGCUCUCCUGUAAUCGAGAGUGGAUGUAAGCAUGAAAUGGCUGCCAACAAAGCAGAUUAAUUGUAGAUGACACUAGCCACAAUCUUAAAAUGGGUGUAGCGUACAUUCGAAACGGCACACCCCACCCCACCGCACCACGCAACUGUACACUGGUCCAUAUGGAAGCAAGUUUCCUGUCAAAGACAGAACCCCAUUGCAAGUCUCGUCUCGGUCCACCAGAUGCGCCGUGGACCUCGCGGACUGCUGGCAUUGAAAAGAGCACAAGCAACUGUGUCUCAGUGCCAAAAAAUGACAACCAAGUGUACAGUGCCUUGUAUCUGCCUCUGAACGUCGCUAUUAGAAGUGACAAAUAAAACUUCAGCGUACUAGAAGUUACAGCUUGAGUGAUAUUGUGAGAAAAUAUUUAGAACUCAGAAGCAAUAUUUUUUGUAACAUGUUUGGGAAGUAACUAGCAUAUGUAUUGCAGUCUUGACUGUUUGCCCGGAUGAGCUGGUUUGAGUGACAGGAUAAUGACUGGCUUUUGGUUCAUUGAAGGUGGCUGACAACAGGAGCUGAAAGCAUUUCAUGCUUAAAAUGUCUGCAGCAGCGGCACUGUUUGAUUAGUCAAGGACCCCAUUUCAUGGCCCUCAUCGAACACUGUUUCUGCCUUUGUAACGCUUCCUAGAAUUUAUCCUUCAAAUUCUUAUGUGAAAGAACCAUGCAUCAAUUUUGGCGUAUUUCUCAAACUGUACGAGCAGAAUUGCUGCUGAUUUCAUAAAUACAACCUAUAAAUCAAUACAGCAGAAUUGUUAGUUUAAAUAUGUAAUCCAAA